UCCCUUGUAGUCCAGUGGUUAGGAUACUCCGAAGUCACCGUAGCGGCCAGUUUUCGGUUCCCUGCAGGGGAG
rnacentral:tRNA from 1 species